GGGAGGCCACACCCAUAUCCCCACUCAUCAAAACGAUAUGCUUCUUGCCUUGUCCUCUUGAUGUAGCCCUGCUUUCUUUCCUCUAUUAUAUGAAGGUUGCGGUUCUGCACCUUUUUCUCCUUUGGCAUGUUCUUUCUGUCUGUGAGUCGCCUAUUGCUGCACAUAUGAUUGUGUUUAUUAUCCUUCAUUUUCUCGGUGUGCAAACUCUCCGGUGAUUUUUAAGGUAGGUAGCCUCAACUCAUCAAAUCAUGGCACUAUUCAUCUUUUGAAAUAAUUGAGAUUGUAAUGAAAUGAUUCAUUUGAAAGCAAGCAAUGAAAAUAAUAGGAAGUGAAUGAGUUUUAUUAUUAUAUUUUUUUAAUAGAGAAUUGAAAAAAUAGGGGCUCAAAUUUAAUUCUGUUAAGUGAGUAAUAUAUCUUUAAUUAAUACACUAAAUUUAGAGAAAUAUUUUAAUUAAAUUAUAUUAGAGAAAAUAAUUUUAGUCAGAAAUUAAUAAAAUAAAUAAAUAAUAGAGGAUCAAUGGUAGACUUUGAAAUGGUCUAAAUUUGAUCAACCCACUUUGUGAUAUUGGAAUAGUCUUGUAUUGGCCCUCCUCCCUUCUUCGUUCAUCCCCCACCGGCCAGUGGCCACACCCACGAAGGGAAAGACUUAAAAAAAUAAGUUAUUCGAAAUUCUCAUGGGAAUCGGACAAGAAAAUCUAUUUGUACCAAUUCUUAUUCUUUGUACUUAUCUUCAUCAUCCUUAUUGUGUAUCAAUUUCUCAGAAACCCAUCAUUACAAUUGGUCUCUCUCAUGCGAAGCUUUUAUGCAAUAAUAAAACUCACCUGUACUCUUGAGAGAAAAAAUUUAUAUAAUUUUUAAUGUGCUAUAGCAUAUGAUUUCAC
rnacentral:misc_RNA from 1 species